rnacentral:rRNA from 1 species
UACGUAGGGGGCAAGCGUUGUCCGGAUUUAUUGGGCGUAAAGAGCGUGUAGGCGGCCAUACAGGUCAGCUGUGAAAACUCGAGGCUCAACCUCGAGACGUCGGUUGAAACCGUAUGGCUAGAGUCCGGAAGAGGAGAGUGGAAUUCCCGGUGUAGCGGUGAAAUGCGCAGAUAUCGGGAAGAACACCCAUGGCGAAGGCAGCUCUCUGGGACGGUACUGACGCUGAGACGCGAAAGCGUGGGGAGCAAACAGGG